UUGGGGUUGGACUAAUGGUAAGUCGCCACGCUCAUAACGUGGAAAUGCGGAGUUCGAUUCUCCCACCCUGAACAA
rnacentral:tRNA from 1 species